rnacentral:rRNA from 1 species
AUGUUGCUCUCGGCCUCGGUGAACUCCAUCUCGUCCAUGCCCUCGCUGGUGUACCAGUGGAGGAAGGCCUUGCGGCGGAACAUGGCGGUGAACUGCUCGCUGACCCUGCGGAACAUCUCCUGGAUGGAGGUGGAGUUGCCGACGAAGGUGGAGGACAUGGCGAGCCCCACGGGCGGGAUGUCGCAGACGCUGGACUUGACGUUGUUGGGGAUCCACUCCACGAAGUAG